rnacentral:lncRNA from 1 species
GUGGUGUGCUGACGGUGGUGGCGCGGAGCCACUGACCGAGGCCGCCGGAUCUGUGAACAGGGGAGGGUUGAGAGAGCGGCCGAGGGAGGCGGCGGCGUUUUCGUCGUCGCCCAGGAGGAGAGAGAACAGGGGGAGUGACGGGGAACGGAGCAGUGACUGGUCGGGGCCGGGAUUAACAGAGGGAGGCCAGGGCGCGGCGGCCCUGCCGCUGUCGCUCGGCCACGGCUGGAGGGGGAGAAGAGGGAUGGCUAGG